rnacentral:rRNA from 1 species
GAUGAACGCUAGCGGCAGGCCUAACACAUGCAAGUCGAACGGUAAGGCGCCUUCGGGCGUACACGAGUGGCGGAUGGGUGCGUAACGCGUAUGCAACCUGCCCCGCACCGGGGAGUAGCCCUGCGAAAGCGGGAGUAAUCCCCCGUGGUGCCCUAGGGUCGCAUGACCCCGGGGUGAUAGCCUUCGGGCGGCGCGGGAUGGGCAUGCGUGCCAUUAGCUGGUUGGUGGGGUAACGGCCCACCAAGGCGACGAUGGCUCGGGGGCCUGAGAGGGUGGUCCCCCACACUGGGACUGAGACACGGCCCAGACUCCUACGGGAGGCAGCAGUGAGGAAUAUUGGUCAAUGGGCGGAAGCCUGAACCAGCCAUGCCGCGUGCCGGACGACGGCCCUACGGGUUGUAAACGGCUUUUGCGCGGGAGCAAUAAGGGGGAUGCGUCCCCCGAUGCGCGUACCACGCGAAUAAGGAUCGGCUAACUCCGUGCCAGCAGCCGCGGUAAUACGGAGGAUCCGAGCGUUAUCCGGAUUUACUGGGUUUAAAGGGAGCGCAGGCGGGCGUCUAAGUCCGUGGUGAAAGCCCGGGGCUCAACCCCGGCACUGCCGCGGAUACUGGGGGCCUUGAAUGCGGUCGAGGGCGGCGGAACGCGUGGUGUAGCGGUGAAAUGCGUAGAUAUCACGUGGAAGGCCAAUUGCGAAGGCAGCUGCCCGGGCCGCGAUUGACGCUGAGGCUCGAAAGCGUGGGGAUCGAACGGGAUUAGAUACCCCGGUAGUCCACGCCGUAAACGAUGAGCACUGGCUGUGGGUGCGCUUUGGCAUCCGCGGCUGCGCGAAAGCAUUAAGUGCUCCACCUGGGGAGUACGGCCGCAAGGCUGAAACUCAAAGGAAUUGACGGGGGCCCGCACAAGCGGAGGAACAUGUGGUUUAAUUCGAUGAUACGCGAGGAACCUUACCUGGGCUCGAACGCCGGUUGCGACAGCCAGAAAUGGCUGGUCCCUUCGGGGCGGCCGGCGAGGUGCUGCAUGGUUGUCGUCAGCUCGUGCCGUGAGGUGUCGGGUUAAGUCCCAUAACGAGCGCAACCCCUGCCGCCAGUUGCCAUCAGGUGAUGCUGGGGACUCUGGCGGGACUGCCGGCGCAAGCCGCGAGGAGGGUGGGGAUGACGUCAAAUCAGCACGGCCCUUACGUCCAGGGCGACACACGUGUUACAAUGGUCGGUACAGAGGGAGGCCACCCCGCGAGGGGGCGCGGAUCCCGAAAGCCGGCCCCAGUUCGGAUCGGAGUCUGCAACCCGACUCCGUGAAGCUGGAUUCGCUAGUAAUCGCGCAUCAGCCAUGGCGCGGUGAAUACGUUCCCGGGCCU